UGGGGAAUUUUGGACAAUGGGGGAAACCCUGAUCCAGCCAUCCCGCGUGUGCGAUGAAGGCCUUCGGGUUGUAAAGCACUUUUGGCAGGAAAGAAACGUCGCGGGUUAAUACCCGCGAAACUGACGGUACCUGCAGAAUAAGCACCGGCUAACUACGUGCCAGCAGCCGCGGUAAUACGUAGGGUGCAAGCGUUAAUCGGGAAUUACUGGGCGUAAAGCGUGCGCAGGCGGUUCGGAAAGAAAGAUGUGAAAUCCCAGAGCUUAACUUUGGAACUGCAUUUUUAACUACCGGGCUAGAGUGUGUCAGAGGGAGGUGGAAUUCCGCGUGUAGCAGUGAAAUGCGUAGAUAUGCGGAGGAACACCGAUGGCGAAGGCAGCCUCCUGGGAUAACACUGACGCUCAUGCACGAAAGCGUGGGGAGCAAACAGGAUUAGAUACCCUGGUAGUCCACGCCCUAAACGAUGUCAACUAGCUGUUGGGGCCUUCGGGCCUUGGUAGCGCAGCUAACGCGUGAAGUUGACCGCCUGGGGAGUACGGUCGCAAGAUUAAAACUCAAAUGAAUUGAC
rnacentral:rRNA from 1 species